rnacentral:rRNA from 1 species
UACGGAGGAUCCGAGCGUUAUCCGGAUUUAUUGGGUUUAAAGGGUGCGUAGGCGGCCUUGUAAGUCAGGGGUGAAAGACGGUAGCUUAACUAUCGCAGUGCCUUUGAUACUGCAGGGCUUGAAUGUACUUGAGGUAGGCGGAAUGUGACAAGUAGCGGUGAAAUGCAUAGAUAUGUCACAGAACACCAGUGGCGAAGGCGGCUCACUGGCCCGAUACUGACGCUGAGGCACGAAAGCGUGGGGAGCAAACAGG